GGCAGGGGGGCGGCGGGCGAGCGGAGAGGCCCGCGGGGCUCGCGGGAGUCCAGGGGCAGACGGGAUGGGUCUCCGUGCUGAAACCCCCGGCGCUCCUGCCACACUGUGAAGCAUCCUGUGUGUGUGUGAAGCACCCGCCGUCAGUCAAGAAAGCCCGGUGCUUUCUCUCAGAACUCAUCAAAAAGACGUGCUGUAUUGCCCAGAAGCCAUCGUGUCGCUGGUCGGGAUCCUGCGGAGGCUGGCUGCCUGCUGGGAGCACCAGCAGUCUCCUGAGGUCUACGUGGCCUUUACCGUCCACAACCCAGAGACGUGCCAGCUGUUCACCACCGAGCUAGGCCGGGCUGGGAUCAUAUGGGAAGCGGAAGCUCAUCAUGACCAGAAACUGUUUCCCUAUGGAGAGCACUUGGAGAUGGCAAUGCUGAACCUCACACUGUAGGACUCACACACGACUCCAACGGGAUUGUGAGAAUCAAGUCAAUCUCAUGGGAAGAAUUUUUAUAUGGGAAAGCGGAUAAAACUUUCAUUGUACUGGAAUGUUUGGAGAAUGUUAAAUUCCAAAUCAGAAACCACAAACUGCCCUCUAAUAAGACAUCGGCUAUCUAAGCGUGUGGGUGCCCCCUUUCUGCCAGCAGUUCUGGUUCUUACGAAAAUCACCAUAUAUCAGACAUGAAAAUUCUGGCUUUGUGCAGAUAAAAAAGUGUGUAUCAAGUAUGACGUUCCCCCAAUGUGGACACACUUGGUUCCUCAGAAAGCCAAGCCCACUGCAGCUGCCACAUCCCUGGACACACUCGGUUCCUCACAAAGCCAAGCCCGCUGCAGCUGUCACAUCCCUGGACACACUCGGUUCCUCACAAAGCCAAGCCCACUGCAGCUGCCACAUCCCUGAGCCUAUGGUGCAGCAGGUGCUUUUUUCAAGACAGGGAUCAAAGUGUUAGGAACACGGCAGAAAGGUGACACCUGGAGACCAAAUGCAGGAUGAGGAGUACUGCAGAGGUCACAGGGAAGUCAGAGAACAGUAAUACGCUAACAGGGGCACGGGGCAUGAAGAACAAAAGACAGGAAGCGUUUCAGAGACUCCAAAGAAGAAAUCAGGGCCAACCACAGCUUCCCGGGUCAUUCACCAGGUGGCACCACUGCCGUCAUUUCAGCUUCUGGCCACUGGGAGGCGCUGCUCGAAAGGGUUUGCCCUGACACUCCAAGAAGCUGCGGGAAGGACAGCAGGGGCCCUGGGGUUUUAGCCUCUGGCCCAGGAGUUAUGUGUCCAUAACCAAAGGGAGCACAGUCUGCACCCAGCUCUCAUCCCAUCAGAGCUGCUGCGACUCCUGCAGGUUCUUCCGGAACUGGUUUAGCUUGCCUGCAGGAUCAGGAAAGUUUGAGAAAAGCAUCUGCAAAAUACUAAAGAGCAGAGCUUACCUCAUUGCCUGUCCCCACCCCAUCCCAGGUCACCACCUGGCUGACCCCAGGUCCCCGACCCAACAACAACCCCUCCCAAGUCCCUAACUCCCUCACUUGGACUUGAGACCCUUCACACCCCAGCAGCGCUCCGCCUCCCACUUGACAUCAUGCUUUCUGGAAACUUCCCCGUAUGUCCCACUUUCCCACACUUGGUGCCCUGGAGCACCUUCCGGCCUCUACAUGCUGUACGUUCCCCUGUGAGCACCCUCCUCUCGGCCUCUGGCCAACACAGUCCCACCCAUCUGUGGGUAACAAGGGGGAGUGGGUGUUCUUUUCAGCCUUGCUAAACUCUCUGAAUCAAGGAUCACAAACUACAGCCUGCAGGCCAAAUCCAGCCCACAGCCUGUGUUUGUAAAUAAAGCUUUAUUGGAAGAAAGCCACACCCCUUAAUCUACAGAUGAUCUGUGGCUACUUUCACACCACAACAGAGUACCAUGGUUCUGACAGAGACUGGGGGACCCAGUCUAAAUGACUUCUGACCUGGACCUUUACUGAAAAUCCUCCCAAUCAUUCUGUUGACAAGAAUGAUGUAUUACUUUUUGCAAUAAGAAACAAGUAACCUUUGCA
ensembl:lncRNA FAM86DP family with sequence similarity 86 member D, pseudogene